rnacentral:lncRNA from 1 species
GCUAAAUAUGCCACUCUCACCCUAGCUUGGUGAGUGCCGUAUGGAUAUCAAGACAUAUGGCCGACAUAAUUUGUGGGACCUCAUAGGGUUGGCUCGCUUUGGCCGACCCUCCCAUUUUAAGUCCAAACAUUUACACAUUUACUUAAUAUUCAAAUAAUAUUGUCGCCAAUUUAGAACAAACAAAUUUUUAUGAAGCUCGACUAUUAUUGAUUCUAUUCCAUGCACUUACUCCUAAUAGUUUCCUCCAAUAUCUCAUUAUUUUGCUCAUCAAACUUGAAAGUUCAAUCAUAUUAUUUUGUACACAUUAAAUAAAAAAUAGAGAAGUUUAAGUUUAAAUGAAUGAUC